GUUUCUUUCAGCAGUGUUUUUUAGUUCUUGCAGAGAUCUUUCACUUCCUUGGUCAGCUGUAUCCCUAGAAAUUUCAUUCUUUUUGUUGCUAUUGUAAAUGGGAUUGCAUUAUUGAUUUGGCUCUCAGCUUGAACACUAUUGGUGUAUAGAAAUGCUACUAACUUUUGUACAUUGAUUUUGUACCCUGAAAGUUUACUAAAAUUGUUUGUCAGUUCUAAGAAGUUUUUGAUGGAGUAUAUAGGGUUUUCUAGGUAUAGAAUUAUAUCAUCUGUGAAGAGAGAUAGUUUGACUUCCUCUUUUCCUAUUUGAAUGCAUUUUAUUUCUCUUGCCUGACUGCUCUGGCCAGAACUUCCAGCACUAGGUUAAGUAGGAGUGGUUAGAGAGGAAAUUCUUGUCUUCUAGUUCUCAACGGAAAUGCUUCCAGCUUUUGCCAAUUCAGUAUGAUGUUGGAUGUGGAUUUGUCAUAAACGGCUUUUAUUAUUUUGAGUGGGGGGUUGUUGAUACCAUGUGCUUAGUGUCGAGUCAGGGUUUGGAAGCAUUUUUCUCAGUGUUCUUGCUCUCCCAUAAGGUAAGCAGUCCCUGCAUGCCUGAGCCUUAAAAAAGAUCUUUCUCUAUGUUCUUAUCCCUUCCAUACUGUUGUAAUGCAAUUACUUUUUAUCCUGUGUUUGGCUUAGGAUGGAGCAUAGGAGUAGUGUUUCUGUUUGCUUGGUACAACAUUGGUUUUGGGCAAUUCCUCUGUGCUUAGGCCUCAUUGGUGGAUCUCUUAAUUUCCCUGACCCUCUUUCUCAACCUGGGGCAAACAUACUUUGCUUUAUGUCUAUGGUGGCUCUUGGUCAGGAUAAUUUUUCUUCUCUACCCCAACUGUUGCUUUGUGCCCAUGCAAGAUCCUGAGCUCAGUAAGUUUUACUACACUUCCCCAAAUGCAGUGCAUCUUUGUCUAGGUGCUAGUAGCAGGAAGGUUUGCUGAGACUCCCCCGAGAACUUAAAACUUUGUUUCAUAUGAGAAAGGUUACAGGAAAGUGAAAAGUUUUUGAUGUCUGUCUUCUAGUAGAAGUCAAUCACUACCUGCAUACCUUUGAUACUAUGGGACUAUAUCUCUCCAGACUCCUUAUCCUCUCCAGCCUUUCUCAGAAGAAUCCAGUAGAGGUCUGUAAAAAAGUUUCUUGUGUUGAGGGCUCCAAGUUUUUCUAAACUGACAUGCUGCAUCACAGCAGGCCUUUAAGAAAUUUUAAAAUUUUAGCUGCUUUCUUUUUAUCCACUCUUUUGGUAGUUACCUCUUCCUGAGCUCUGUUUGUGUGCCUUAUGUACCUAAGUGUGUAGGGCUUUGUCACUGUUUGAAAUUCAGUUCUCAUAUGUGUAUGUGUGUUUAAUGAAUUCAGUGCUUUAAGAAAAAAAAUCAGAUUAUCUGAAAUUUUUUUUGAUUUUUAGGGUGGAAGUAAUAUUUUUUCUCACAUCUUUGCUAUGUGAAAAUGAAACAAAAUUAAUUUUUAUAGAUAAUUUAAGUUAUUUUCCCUGAGCACAUUGAAGACUAUUCCAUUGUCUUGUGCUUCCAACACAGAUAUUUGGAUAAUUGCCUCCUUUUUGACUUGCUGAGUCUUCUGGCCUUCAAUUUACUCCUGUGCUGGAUGCUUCCUGCCAUUGUAUAUCACAUUCGAAGUUCUUCGGCUUUUGGACUCUUGGACUUACACCAGUAGUUUGCCAGGGGCUUUUGGGCCUCUGGCCACAGACUUAAGUCUGCACUGUCGGCUUCCCUACUUCUGAGGUUUUGGGACUCUGACUGAUCCACCACUGGCUUCCUUGCUGUUAAACUUGUAGACAACCUGUCAUUGGACUUUACCUUGUGAUUGUGUGAGUCAAUUAUCCUUAAUAAACAC
rnacentral:lncRNA from 1 species